rnacentral:rRNA from 1 species
UACGUAGGGUCCGAGCGUUGUCCGGAAUUACUGGGUGUAAAGGGCGUGUAGGCGGGAAGACAAGUCAGAUGUGAAAUACCGUGGCUUAACCACGGGGCUGCAUCUGAAACUGUAUUUCUUGAGUGUCGGAGAGGAAAGUGGAAUUCCCAGUGUAGCGGUGAAAUGCGUAGAUAUUGGGAGGAACACCAGUGGCGAAGGCGACUUUCUGGACGAUAACUGACGCUGGGGCGCGAAAGCGUGGGGAGCAAUCAGG